AAUGACGUGCGCGUGGAUUAGGCAUGCAAGUCGUACGCCCGCAAGGGCGUGGCGCAAGGGUGAGUAAGGCGACGGCAACCAACCCCGCGGCCGGGCAUAGCCACUCGAAAGGGUGGGUAAUUCCCGAUGUCCCGAGUCGCUGCAUCAGCGGAACGGGAAAGGUGAGAUUCCGCCGUGGGACGGACCGUCGUGGUAUCAGCUUGUUGGCGGGGUAAUGGCCCACCAAGGCUAUGACGCCUACCGGGCGUGCGAGCUUGGCCCGGCACACUGGGACUGAGACACUGCCCAGACUCCUACGGGAGGCUGCAGUCGAGAAUCUUCGGCAAUGGGCGCAAGCCUGACCGAGCGACGCCGCGUGGAGGACGAAGGCCUUCGGGUUGUAAACUCCUGUCGAGGGGGAACAAGGGGUGGUGCAGAGCCAUCCUUGAGUGAACCCUGGAGGAAGCACGGGCUAAGUUCGUGCCAGCAGCCGCGGUAAGACGAACCGUGCGAACGUUAUUCGGAAUCACUGGGCUUAAAGCGCGUGUAGGCGGCCCGGCACGUCCGUCGCUGAAAUCCCCCGGCUCAACCGGGGAAGUGGCGUGGAUACGACCGGGCUGGAGGGGGGUAGGGGGAGCCGGAACUUCCGGUGGAGCGGUGAAAUGCGUUGAGAUCGGAAGGAACGCCCGUGGCGAAAGCGAGAUCCUGGACGUCUACUGACGCUGAGACGCGAAAGCCAGGGGAGCGAACGGGAUUAGAUACCCCGGUAGUCCUAGCCGUAAACGAUGAGCACUAGGUAGGGGCUCGCCGAUGGGCUCCCUGCCGUAGGGAAACCGUGAAGUGCUCCGCCUGGGGAGUAUGGUCGCAAGGCUGAA
rnacentral:rRNA from 1 species